rnacentral:rRNA from 1 species
GAAUGCAGUCGAGCGAACAGACGAGGAGCUUGCUCCUCUGACGUUAGCGGCGGACGGGUGAGUAACACGUGGAUAACCUACCUAUAAGACUGGGAUAACUUCGGGAAACCGGAGCUAAUACCGGAUAAUAUAUUGAACCGCAUGGUUCAAUAGUGAAAGACGGUUUUGCUGUCACUUAUAGAUGGAUCCGCGCCGCAUUAGCUAGUUGGUAAGGUAACGGCUUACCAAGGCAACGAUGCGUAGCCGACCUGAGAGGGUGAUCGGCCACACUGGAACUGAGACACGGUCCAGACUCCUACGGGAGGCAGCAGUAGGGAAUCUUCCGCAAUGGGCGAAAGCCUGACGGAGCAACGCCGCGUGAGUGAUGAAGGUCUUCGGAUCGUAAAACUCUGUUAUUAGGGAAGAACAAAUGUGUAAGUAACUAUGCACGUCUUGACGGUACCUAAUCAGAAAGCCACGGCUAACUACGUGCCAGCAGCCGCGGUAAUACGUAGGUGGCAAGCGUUAUCCGGAAUUAUUGGGCGUAAAGCGCGCGUAGGCGGUUUUUUAAGUCUGAUGUGAAAGCCCACGGCUCAACCGUGGAGGGUCAUUGGAAACUGGAAAACUUGAGUGCAGAAGAGGAAAGUGGAAUUCCAUGUGUAGCGGUGAAAUGCGCAGAGAUAUGGAGGAACACCAGUGGCGAAGGCGACUUUCUGGUCUGUAACUGACGCUGAUGUGCGAAAGCGUGGGGAUCAAACAGGAUUAGAUACCCUGGUAGUCCACGCCGUAAACGAUGAGUGCUAAGUGUUAGGGGGUUUCCGCCCCUUAGUGCUGCAGCUAACGCAUUAAGCACUCCGCCUGGGGAGUACGACCGCAAGGUUGAAACUCAAAGGAAUUGACGGGGACCCGCACAAGCGGUGGAGCAUGUGGUUUAAUUCGAAGCAACGCGAAGAACCUUACCAAAUCUUGACAUCCUCUGACCCCUCUAGAGAUAGAGUUUUCCCCUUCGGGGGACAGAGUGACAGGUGGUGCAUGGUUGUCGUCAGCUCGUGUCGUGAGAUGUUGGGUUAAGUCCCGCAACGAGCGCAACCCUUAAGCUUAGUUGCCAUCAUUAAGUUGGGCACUCUAAGUUGACUGCCGGUGACAAACCGGAGGAAGGUGGGGAUGACGUCAAAUCAUCAUGCCCCUUAUGAUUUGGGCUACACACGUGC